CGGGCGCCCCGCGCUCCCCGUCGGGGGCGCUUUACCUCCCGAGACACCGUAACUUUCAAGUCCUCCAACUUGCCGCCGGCGCCAUCAUGACGCCGGGGGCUGGCGGGGACUCGGCCGACCCGCUGCCGCUCUACCUCGUUUCGGAAACCAGAUUGCAGACCCUUCAGCUCUUCCGGGCCAUUUGCGGAUCAAUGCGAGAACCGAGGCUGGAGUCGAUGGCAGUUACGCCAAUCAGUGUUGCUCAGGAGUUGGGGAAGCGCAGCGAGGAAGUGGAGGGAAACAAGUAAUCAAAAAAAAAAAAAAAA